AGCAGGGAAGGGACGGACUCACCAGAGGUGGCAGCAACAGCCCAGCUUGGCUCUCCAGUUUCUUUCUCCGAAUCCCGGUGAGGUGGUUUCCCACCGACUUUAUUUCCGUACUGCACAGGCAAGCCCAGGGGUGAAAGGUUACAAAAAUGGCGCUGGCCGUCCGUCUUUUACCCCGCUUGCUGCUCUGUCGGCCCCUUUCGGGCUGGGUCCCCCGACUCCCGACUCCCGAUUCGGCUGAAGUGAGGCCGCCGUUGGCUGGACUUUGCUGCUUCUGCCGCCGCCGCCUCGGCUCGGGGGCGGCCCCAUUUCCUCGAGUCUCAUGGGCCUCCGCGGCCUUGGCGCUGCCUGCUCGGGGUCCUCAGCGUCGGCUCUUCAGCCCUCUGGGACUCCCCGCACCCCUCCCCGCUUUCCCUUCCUGCCCUCGGCGAACCUACAGCACCGAGGAGCAGCCCCAGCAGCGCCAGAAAACCAAGAUGAUCAUUCUGGGAUUCUCCAACCCCAUCAACUGGGUUCGGACUCGAAUUUACUCCUUCCUUAUCUGGGCCUAUUUCGACCAAGAGUUCAGCAUCGCAGAAUUCUCAGAGGGAGCGAAGCAGGCUUUUGCUCAUGUGUCCAAGUUGCUGUCACAGUGUAAGUUUGAUCUAUUGGAAGAACUUGUGGCCAAAGAGAUGCUAUGUGUAUUGAAAGAAAAGGUUACUUCACUACCUGACAACCAUAAAAAUGCCCUUGCUGCUGACAUAGAUGAAAUUGUAUAUACAUCAACAGGAGACAUCUCCAUUUACUACGAUGAGAAAGGAAGGAAGUUUGUUAACAUCCUGAUGUGCUUUUGGUAUCUAACCAGUGCCAACAUCCCCAGUGAAACUAUAAGUGGAGCCAGUGUGUUCCAGGUUAAGUUGGGGGAUCAGAACGUGGAAACUAAACAGCUUCUUAGUGCAAGCUAUGAAUGCCCUAAUGCAGAGGCCCUCAGGGAUACCUUCCCCUAAGGACCAUUUGGAAACAUGGAGGAGAAUUUUCUACUGUUGCAAUGAAUGGUACAGUUGCCGUUCACCGUUCACCGGUGCUAACGUGAAGUUUUGAUAAAAAUCCUGAAAAUGAUUGUUCUUGAUGAAACCAGUUAAGAAAAGAUGCCUCAUAUUUAAUAAAUAUCUUCUCUUUCUGAUUCCAAUGAAGAAGUAGAUGAGCCAUUGUCUAACAGCUUGGAAUGUGCCAAGAGAGGACUGGGGCUGAACUAAGGAGAGCUGAAUUGCUUUGCAUAAUAACAUGGGACAAAUUACUGGCAAGGAAUGAGAGAAGGAGAGGGCUAAAAUACACAGCAGGAUGCUGGGGCCUUAAUUGUUGGAAAUAUCCAAAGAACUUUUAAAAAUAUAGAAAUCAAAUACUUUUUAACCUAUUGGCUCUUCUGUGAUGUAAGUCUUCUUUUCUUCAAAAUUUGAGUGAAGUUUGCUAUACUCAAAUAAGUCUUUUUUUUUUGAAGUGUGAAUGUUGUUGGUUUGGUACAGAGCAGAGAAAGGAAGCAAUUGUAGGGCAAAAAUAAAAGUGAAAAUAAGAUUCCAGGGGUAGUAGAUACUAAGAUUCAAAAGUGACCUUGAGUAAACAAGCAUCAGGAUUCUUCAUGAAACUUUGGGAAGGAAAGGAAUGUGGAGUUUCCGCUGACAUCAUGGGCUACAUAUUUGUUAUUUGAACUUUCACUUAAUUGUGUGUGCAUAUGCUCAUUGUAAACUCCUUAGAUGUAGCAGUUGUACCUUUUGUUGUGUGUAUCUAUCUUUUUACUGCCCAUUAGUCUAGCUCUGAAAUGUGCACAUAAUAUACUUUCAUUAGGGACUUCCCUGGCAGUCCAGUGGUUAAGAUUCUGUGCUUCCACUGUGAGGUGCAUGGGUUUGAUCCUUGUUCGGGAAUAUAAGAUCCUGCAUGCUGUGUGGUGCAGCCAAAAAAAAGGAAAAAUGCUUUCGUUAAAUAGGGAUUUAAAUCACUCAACAUACUGAGUUUCCACUGAUCCAUUUCUACCCCGACUUCUUUGUGAAAAAAUUUUAAAAGGACCCAUUCUUGUGUUGGUAUAAGAGGUAAGACUUAAAGGAAGAUUGACCCAUUUGAGGAUUAAAUCCAUAACAAAUCUACCCUACAACCAGAUACUGAGGCAUUGAAAAUGCUUCAUUUUGAUGAAAUGAGAAAGCAUAUACACAAACAGAAAUGAUGCAAUAGAAAGCAUAACAAAUGAAUUAAAAUAUGAUUUACCACUUUCA